rnacentral:rRNA from 1 species
UCCCGUUGAUCCUGCGGGAGGUUGCUGCUAUUAGGAUUCGACUAAGCCAUGCAAGUCAGGUAGCUUCGUGCUGCCGGCAAAAUGCUCAGUAACACGUCGAUAAUCUGCCCUUAGGUUUGGGAUAACCUUGGGAAACUGAGGCUAAACCCAAAUAAAAGACUGGUUUUGGAAUGAUCUUUCUUUUAAAAGCAAUGCCUAAGGAUGAGUUGGCGGCUGAUUAGGCUGUUGGUGGGGUAAAGGCCCACCAAACCAAAGAUCAGUAGGGGCCCUGAGAGGGGUAGCCCCGAGAAGGGCACUGAGACACUGGCCCUAGCCUUACGGGGUGCAGCGGGCGCGAAACCUCUACAAUGCACGAAAGUGUGAUAGGGGAAUCCUAAGUGCUUAUGUUUUACAUAGGCUUUUGCCAAGAGUAAAUUCCUUGGCGAAUAAGCGGUGGGCAAGACUGGUGCCAGCCGCCGCGGUAACACCAGCGCCGCAAGUGGGAACCACAAUUAUUGGGCCCAAAGCGUCCGUAGCCUGUUUUGUAAAUCUCCUGUGAAAUUGUUCAGCUCAACUGAAUAGCUUGCGUGAGACACUACAGAACUUGAGACUGGGAGGAGUCAGAGUUAUUUUGGGGGGAGCGGUAAAAUGCUAUAAUCCCCGAAGGACCACCAGUGGCGAAGGCGUCUGACUAGAACGGAUCUGACGGUGAGGGACGAAAGCCAGGGGAGCGAUCGGGAUUAGAUACCCCAGUAGUCCUGGCUGUAAACGCUGCGAGCAAGGUGUUGCAUAUUCUAUAAGAAUAUGCAGUGUCGAAAUGAAGAUGUUAAGCUCGCCGCCUGGGAAGUAUGGUCGCAAGACUGAAACUUAAAGGAAUUGGCGGGGGAGCACUACAAGGGGUGCGGCGUGCGGUUUAAUCUAAUUCCACACAGAGAAUCUCACCAGAAGCGACGGCAGGAUGAAAGUCAGGCUGAAGGUCUUACUUAACAAGCCGAGAGGUGGUGCAUGGCCGCCGUCAGCUCGUGCCGUAAGGUGUCCUCUUAAGUGAGGCAACGAGCGAGAUCUGUACCCACAAUUGCCAGCGAACAAUUUUUGUGAUCGGGCACAAUGUGGGGACUGCCUUGGAAACAAGGAGGAAGGUGCAGGCUACGGUAGGUCUGUAUGCCCCGAAUCUUCUGGGCUACACGCGCGCAACAAUGGUAAAGACAAUGGGAUACAACUCCGAAGGAGAAGUUAAACCUCGAAACUUUACCUUAGUACAGAUUGAGGAUUGUAACUCAUCCUCAUGACGCUGGAAUCCCUAGUAAUCAGAUUUUAUCAGAGUCUGGUGAAUAUGUCCCUGCUCCUUGCACACACCGCCCGUCAAACCACUCGAGCAGGGUUUAGGUGAGCGUUAGACUCUUAUCUAACUCGAACCUAAGCUCAGUGAGAUGGGUUAAGUCGUCACAAGGUA